ACAUACAAAGAAGAGCUGGUAAUUUUCCUACUAAAACUAUUUCAAAAAAUUGAGAAGGCCAGACUCCUCCUCAACUCCUGAUACUAA